rnacentral:misc_RNA from 1 species
GCCAUUUGACCAUUCACCACAUUGGUGUGCACCUGGGUUGAUGGCCGGACCGUUGAUUCCCUGACGACUACGAGCACCUGCAUGAAGCAGAAGGCUUCAUUUGGUGACCCCGACGUGAUAGUUAGGGAAUAGUGGUCGGCCACAGACGGCGUGGCGAUCCUGUCUCCAUCCGUCUCGUCUAUCGGGAGGCGAGUUCGAUGACCCUGGUGGAGGGGGCUGCGGCUUAGGGAGGCAGAAGCUGAGUACCGUCGGAGGGAGCUCCAGGGCCCGGAGCGACUGACCCCUGCCGAGAACUCAGAGGGUCGUCGGAAGACGGAGAGUGAGCCCGACGACCACCCCAGGCACGUCUUUGGUCGGCCUGCGGAUCAAGCAUGGAAGCCGUCAUUAAGGUGAUUUCGUCCGCGUGUAAAACCUAUUGCGGGAAAAUCUCUCCUUCUAAGAAGGAAAUAGGGGCCAUGUUGUCCCUGUUACAAAAGGAAGGGUUGCUUAUGUCUCCCUCAGAUUUAUAUUCUCCGGGGUCCUGGGAUCCCAUCACUGCGGCGCUCUCCCAGCGGGCAAUGGUACUUGGAAAAUCGGGAGAGUUAAAAACCUGGGGAUUGGUUUUGGGGGCAUUGAAGGCGGCUCGAGAGGAACAGGUUACAUCUGAGCAAGCAAAGUUUUGGUUGGGAUUAGGGGGAGGGAGGGUCUCUCCCCCAGGUCCGGAGUGCAUCGAGAAACCAGCUACGGAGCGGCGAAUCGACAAAGGGGAGGAGGUGGGAGAAACAACUGUGCAGCGAGAUGCGAAGAUGGCGCCAGAGGAAGCGGCCACACCUAAAACCGUUGGCACAUCCUGCUAUCAUUGCGGAACAGCUGUUGGCUGCAAUUGCGCCACCGCCACAGCCUCGGCCCCUCCUCCCCCUUAUGUGGGGAGUGGUUUGUAUCCUUCCCUGGCGGGGGUGGGAGAGCAGCAGGGCCAGGGAGAUAACACGUCUCGGGGGCGGAGCAGCCAAGGGAGGAGCCAGGGCACGCGG